rnacentral:tRNA from 1 species
GCGGGCGUAGCUCAAUGGUAGAACGAGAGCUUCCCAAGCUCUAUACGAGGGUUCGAUUCCCUUCGCCCGCUCCA